rnacentral:rRNA from 1 species
UACGUAGGGUGCGAGCGUUAAUCGGAAUUACUGGGCGUAAAGCGUGCGCAGGCGGUUUGGUAAGACAGGCGUGAAAUCCCCGAGCUCAACUUGGGAAUGGCGCUUGUGACUGCCAGGCUAGAGUAUGUCAGAGGGGGGUAGAAUUCCACGUGUAGCAGUGAAAUGCGUAGAGAUGUGGAGGAAUACCGAUGGCGAAGGCAGCCCCCUGGGACGUCACUGACGCUCAUGCACGAAAGCGUGGGGAGCAAACAGG